rnacentral:misc_RNA from 1 species
UAUGAAGAACGUAGCGAAAUGCGAUAAGUAAUGUGAAUUGCAGAAUCCAGUGAAUCAUCGAAUCUUUGAACGCACAUUGCGCCCGCCAGCAUUCUGGCGGGCAUGCCUGUUCGAGCGUCAUUUCAACCCUCGACCUCCCUUUGGGGAAGUCGGCGUUGGGGACCGGCAGCACACCGCCGGCCCUGAAAUGGAGUGGCGGCCCGUCCGCGGCGACCUCUGCGUAGUAAUCCAACUCGCACCGGAACCCCGACGCGGCCACGCCGUAAAACACCCAACUUCUGAACGUUGACCUCGAAUCAGGUAGGACUACCCGCUGAACUUAAGCAUAUCAAUAAGCGGAGGA